CAACCCUCAAGCUCUCUUGCUUGGUGUUGGGGCUUCUGCGGCUUCGGCCGCAGGCCCUGAAAAACAGUGGCGGGCUCGCUAUAACUCCGAGCGUAGUAAUCUCUCUCGCUUUGGAAGUGUGGCGGUUCCCGGCCGUUAAACCCCCCAAUCUCUGAAA
rnacentral:misc_RNA from 1 species